rnacentral:rRNA from 1 species
CUGCCCUGUACAGGGGGACAACAGCUGGAAACGGCUGCUAAUACCGCAUAAGCCCUUAGCACUGCAUGGUGCAUAGGGAAAAGGAGCAAUCCGGUACAGGAUGGACCCGCGUCUGAUUAGCCAGUUGGCAGGGUAACGGCCUACCAAAGCGACGAUCAGUAGCCGAUCUGAGAGGAUGUACGGCCACAUUGGGACUGAGACACGGCCCAGACUCCUACGGGAGGCAGCAGUGGGGAAUAUUGCACAAUGGAGGAAACUCUGAUGCAGCGACGCCGCGUGAGUGAAGAAGUAUUUCGGUAUGUAAAGCUCUAUCAGCAGGGAAGAAAAUGACGGUACCUGACUAAGAAGCACCGGCUAAAUACGUGCCAGCAGCCGCGGUAAUACGUAUGGUGCAAGCGUUAUCCGGAUUUACUGGGU